ACAAGGAACAUGUCAACAGCUGGGCUUGGGGUUUGAGGAACAGAGUCGCUGCGAUUGGAACAGAGCCCGGCCACCCUGUUCCACCACUGUCCACUCCGUAGCUCCCAGCCUGCCGCCGCGCGGUGCCCGAACACGAGAGGGCACCUCCUCCCAGAUCCGGGGCGCAGAAGCCCCGCGGAGGCAGGGAAGUUCCUGGGCUUUGCUCCAAAGCUGCCCCGGAAUGUUUUGGUUGGUUUGGAGAAAAGCUGUGGCGUCUACACCACUUGUUCCAAGCAGGCGGCCCCCUGGUGGCUAACUGGGGGUGAGAAAGCUGGCCACUGAGGAAGAAGUCUGGCGCAGGUAGGCCCCAACAGUUGACAACCUAGUCUUCGGGUCUUCUUCACAGCGUGUGAACAACUUAGUAUUACCGCGGGGGGGGGGGGGGGGAGAGGGUUGGGGGGUGGUGAGGUGAAGCAAAUCUUCCUUCAACACGGUGGAUCAUAGGCUUCUCGGCCUACUGGAACUUUUAAUUUUUUUCUCUUCCUGAGUAUAACUUGGAGCUAAAUUAUUUAAGAAGGAGACAUACAGCGGACAAAACGAAAUGUAACAAAAACUGUUGCUUCUCUUUGUUCAAGGGCUUUGUCUUUCUGAUCUCAUUUUGCCCAGAAAAUUCAGAAAUGAGCCAAUUAAAGCAUGAAAUAAAUAAAGGGCGUGGCAUUAUUCAAACA
rnacentral:lncRNA from 1 species